rnacentral:rRNA from 1 species
GAUGAACGCUGGCGGCGUGCCUAAUACAUGCAAGUCGAGCGAACAGAUAAGGAGCUUGCUCCUUUGACGUUAGCGGCGGACGGGUGAGUAACACGUGGGUAACCUACCUAUAAGACUGGGAUAACUUCGGGAAACCGGAGCUAAUACCGGAUAACAUUUGGAACCGCAUGGUUCUAAAGUGAAAGAUGUUUUUGCUAUCACUUAUAGAUGGACCCGCGCCGUAUUAGCUAGUUGGUAAGGUAACGGCUUACCAAGGCAACGAUACGUAGCCGACCUGAGAGGGUGAUCGGCCACACUGGAACUGAGACACGGUCCAGACUCCUACGGGAGGCAGCAGUAGGGAAUCUUCCGCAAUGGGCGAAAGCCUGACGGAGCCACGCCGCGUGAGUGAUGAAGGGUUUCGGCUCGUAAAACUCUGUUAUUAGGGAAGAACAAACGUGUAAGUAACUGUGCACGUCUUGACGGUACCUAAUCAGAAAGCCACGGCUAACUACGUG